UGUGGGCGCUUCUUUGGCAGUGUCUUAGCUGGUUGUUGUGAGGAGUCUGAACGAAGCAAUCAGCAAGUAUACUGCCGCAGAAACGCCUCACCAU
ensembl:miRNA mir34a microRNA 34a